GCUUGGGAAGCCGCAAGGGUGAGAAAGAACAGAGGUUGCGGGAGAGAAAGUGAACAGCAGAUGAAUGGGAAAAAAGCAACGUACCUUAGACCACUCUUCGCCUACCCCAUCCAGCAUGCAUCUGCCUAGAAGAUAAAAAACCUUCUCUGGCCAAUGAUACCCAAGAGGAGGCAGAUCUGCCAGUCCUCUUUGCCGGACUGACGAAGAGGAAGAUCCGCCAGGUCGGGGUGCUGCCAUGGAAGGAGAACCGCCUGGUUCAUCUUGCCUGCCUCCCAAGCUAUCAUCUCCUCGUCCACAUCACUUGGUCUGGAACCGGAGGUAGGGAAGGAGGAGAGGAAGGGGAGGAG
rnacentral:lncRNA from 1 species